rnacentral:rRNA from 1 species
UGGGGAAUUUUGGACAAUGGGCGAAAGCCUGAUCCAGCAAUGCCGCGUGUGUGAAGAAGGCCUUCGGGUUGUAAAGCACUUUUGUCCGGAAAGAAAUCCUUGACUCUAAUACAGUCGGGGGAUGACGGUACCGGAAGAAUAAGCACCGGCUAACUACGUGCCAGCAGCCGCGGUAAUACGUAGGGUGCAAGCGUUAAUCGGAAUUACUGGGCGUAAAGCGUGCGCAGGCGGUUUGCUAAGACCGAUGUGAAAUCCCCGGGCUCAACCUGGGAACUGCAUUGGUGACUGGCAGGCUAGAGUAUGGCAGAGGGGGUAGAAUUCCACGUGUAGCAGUGAAAUGCGUAGAGAUGUGGAGGAAUACCGAUGGCGAAGGCAGCCCCCUGGGCCAAUACUGACGCUCAUGCACGAAAGCGUGGGGAGCAAACAGGCUUAGAUACCCUGGUAGUCCACGCCGU